ensembl:lncRNA
CUGGGAAGUCAAAUCUGGACUGUGUUGGUUUACUCCACAACCUACUUCGGUGCACUAUUUAAGAUACAAGUGUGUUUCGAACGAACAAAUGCAGUUUACAAUCCAACACUGGAGUCCUACUAAUGUCACUCCGGGAAUGACCAAAUACAGGCUCAGUGGAUCAGCAGUGUGAGCUAACGUGUCGGCCAGUCGGCUAUUGUUUUUACGUUCGUCAUUCGGAGCGAGUGAGAGACCGAAACCCGUGUGUUGAUAACACCCCCAAUGAUAUGUGCGUGGGAGGCCGAUGCCUGCUUCCUCUCAGAGUGAGGGGUGUGAUGGCAUGCUUGGCUCGGGUGUGGUGUGUGAUUGGUGCAGCAUUUGUGUGUGUGGGAGGCUGAUGCCUGGUAAAAACACAUCUCGCGCGCACACACACACACACUAACGCUAAUCUUGUCUGACUUCUAUUUCGUGAACGGUCUUUCGUUCUUUCUUUUUCCUUUUGUCAUCCCUCUUUCUCUAUCAUUCUUUCUCUCCUUUUCCGUUUAUUGUGUAUGUCACUCUCUCAUCUUUUUUUCCUUCUCGCAUUCUCUUCUUUUUUUUUUCUUCUUUUUUUUUUAAACCCUUUCUUUCUAUCCCUACCUCUCAAUACCCUGCCCAGGGUCAAAGGUCAGCGACAGGGCAGCCGACUCUCCAGCCAAUCGCGUCCCGGACCAACGUUGAGGAAGUGAAUAUACAGUAACAUUUCAAUAGCUCUGUUUUGUUAGCCACUUUAGCAUCACAGCUCCAGUGCAAACAUGUCUCUGCUGAUCAACUACGUCUGGGGUAAAACGUAAAUUGUGUGCCCUUCUUUUCUAAUCUUUUUUCUUUUUUUAAAAAAUCUUUUGCUUUUUCUCAAAGUGAGAACUUUUUUUAAAAUCCAGUAUGUUUGUUUUGUUUUAAAAGCACUAGAAUUUUCUGCAUUUCUAUGGCAACCUGGAUGCCAAACUAAACCUACAAUGAUGAAGGUGCCUUUAAUAAAGAAAAAUUAGAUUUGUGCCCAUUUUGCUCAUAAACUAUCAGUACACCUGAUUUUGUUCACAUUCCUAUCUAUACAAGUACACUACAUAGGGGAAGACAUAAUACGCUUACACUCUGUCAAGUGCACUAGAUGUCCAAUAGCCAUGCAUGACUUGCCAUAAUUCAGUUAUUCAGUUAAAUAAUGCCUCCUACACCCUAUCUAGGGCACUAUACAUACAGCUACGAGUCAGCCAUAUUUGAUUCCAGCGCGCUUGUGCAGGAAGUAUGGAGCUAAAUCCCAAAAUGUUUCAUAUUAGACGUGUAGUGCACUACAUAGGGUGCAGCAAUUUUCAUACCUCAUAAGUGCAAUUAUUUGGGGAGCAGGGACCUUAAAUACAUUGGGGCAGAGCUACACUUUCUAUACAUUUUGCACUACAUCGGCUGCCAUUAUUUUUCUUCUAAUCCUCUAGUUGACAUAUAGUGCACUAUGUAAGGGGUAUUAUUUCAUUCCCUGUGAAAUGCAUGAAUUUCUUUGCAGUGCGCUUUAUGGGAUUAAAGAAAAAAAAAAGAAAUGGCACCCCAUGUAGUGCACUAUAUAGAAUUUUAGCUCUGCCUUAACAUGGAGGUGCACUUUAUAUGAAAUAAUAACACCUACUCCCUGUGUAGUCCACUAAAUGUCCACGAGGGAACUAUGGAUUCUGAUCAUUACUCCCUGUGCACUACUUAGGAUAAAUAAAUUUGUUUAAAAAAAGAAUACAAAUGGAAAAUACAACAAGGCUGUUUAAACACAACAAGGCUGUAGUAGAAGUUUUUCUGUUCUGCGUGAUGACAUUUAAUUUCCCAGACAACCUCUGUAGUCCUAUUUAGCCACUUGUUAGCAACAGUCUUUUUCAAGACGUGUAAAAGCUUUUGAAAAAAAUCCUGAGUGGGGUAGUACUUGUAGCAAUGUGGCUCGUUUCGCAACAACUAUGCCACCCCGAGAAAAUGGGGAAAAUAACCCAAAUAAAGACACACAAGUACGUUCCACUUAGAACAGGUAAGAGGCAUGGGUUUCCAUACAAAAAUACAUUUUAUUUUGAAGUUAAAAAGACUGGCCAAGAAUUAUAAAAAAUAAAAUAAAUAAAAAAACAGCAACCAACACAAUCAGGCAUUGGUCAAAUAAAACAGUCACAAGAAGAAAUUAACAAUAAUCAUAGGAGAGCUGAGGCUUCCUGAAGGGCAGGCUAGUACGAUAGCACCAGCUGUACAAACGGGAAAAGAACCCCACUAAUCAGAAUCAUACCCACAAAAAUUCACUGCAAAUAAAUACAGCAGUAAUAACGACCCUUAAUAAAGCAAAGCCUAAGGUGCAGCAAAGAACCCCCCAGCCUCAGGAAGCACUCAGCUCCUACAAGGAGGAGAAAAAAAAACACAGUCAAUUACAAUAUGCUCAGAGCAGACAAACAAAAGAAUAAAACAAAACAAAGACAAACUUAUUGUCACAUAAACACAGACAUAACCCCGAGCUCAAACUGAUUACAGGUAGCAAGUUUACCAAGACUGACCAAAACCAGCAGAAUUGAUAAAGACUGUUACAACAAUUGAGUUCAAUAAAACUGAUCUUAGUGACAAUAACAAACAUAAGUAAAAGCAAAACAAACUGAAGCAGCAAAACCAAACAGAAUCAAGCAGCAACAUGGCUCCACGAGUGAGGGGGACGAGCUAUACUGCAAUGACCACAUCUCACUCAGCCCGCCUAAAUGCAUGCAAAAUCGGGGACCCUAAGAACAAACGGGUGUUACAACCUCAAUUUGGAAAGCAUGCAAACUCAUUUAGCUCAAGUAAUAGAACUAAACAAUUUACCUACCGUGAUCCGAUGGCACAUACGAAAAUCUUGAUAGCUUCUUUAAUAGUUGUGACGGCAACAGCUGGCGCUCCGACUGGAGCUACGUUAAACUACCGUGCUACAAAGAUGGGAGCCUUGACGGCACACCACACCUGCAGUCUCGGUAGCUUAAGGUUACGCUAAACAAGUAAAUUGCAUGGUAAGUAGACAACGCUAGCAUCAAACAGCUAAGCAUCAAAGCUAAAAACACAUACCUCUGUAGUCCAUAGCAACGAAAGGAAGGGACAGGUAUUCGACCAUGACGCAUUCUGGGAGGCAUAAACAACCACUUGUAUACUGUGGUAGGGAGAGAGCCCAUUGGCCACGUAGUUAAUAAGGGUGACGUUUUAACCACGACACACACGUCACUACAUACUGAUGUAUUUUAUGGUGUAGUGUAAAACAUGAACAUAUAUUGAGCUUGUGUUAACCACAGACCUUAUUUCAGGCAUUUAACCAAAAAACCCAUUCAAAGCCCAACUGACUUCGAAAUGAAGGAUGUCAAGUGCACAGGAAAAUUAAGUCGAGAUCACGAGAAAACAACAGGGAAAAAAAGGAAUAAUGCAUGGCCGCUUAGGGCUUCCGUACUAUGCAGGGGGCUAUGGAACAAUUUGAAAUGCAGCCUGAUUACUGUAUAGCUAGCUAAAGAAUCAAAAUGGGGCCAAUCCCCAAUGCUUAGACAUGGGACUGGUUUCGAAACGUUUUCCGUAUUGGCAUUUGUACUCGGACUUGUCUUGGUCUCGGGCAGUGGUCUCCCUAAAUACAGUCUUGGUCUAAACCGAGGACUCUGUAUUUCAAGUGGGCUCAUUUGAAUAAAAUCAUAUAUUAAAAUCAAUUUUAACAAAGGCUUUUCAUAUUGUUUUCCGUUUGCCUGACUUCUUCAUGUUACUUUCUGAAAACUGAGGUUGUAUCACGUAGGAAUCACGUUGUUAGGAUUUAGCCCUCAUCACGGUACUGAGACAGCGCUGGUUAAAGUGGUAAAUGACUCACUAAAGACUUCUAAUCAGGGUGGUCUCCUUGCAUGUGUUGCCCGACCUUAACGCAGAUUUGAUACCGUAGAUCACGAUAUUCUAUCAAGAUAGACUACAAAAUGUUGUCCAAGGUAAGGGAAUGGCUCCUUCCUGGUUCAGGUCUUAUUACUAAUCGUCAUCAGUUUGUAGAUUAAGAUAAAUAUAAUACAUUCAAAGAUGAUUUGAUUACAUUAAUAACGAAUACGUUUUUUCACCAUCUUUAUUUAUUGUUUAUUGCAUCCAUUCUUCAUCAUUCUUCAGCAUCUGCAUGUUAGCUGUCAUUCUGUUUCGCCUCCUCCUUCACUACCAGGGACAGGGAUUAACACCUGGAAAUUCUCGUGUGUGCUUAUGCCUAGAUCUUCACCACAAAGUCAUAUUACGUGACACCCAUUACUAGCUAGGAUUGUUACUGCUAGCUUAGCUGUUAGCAAUGUACAUAAUAUAUAGGCUGUUGUUUGCUAUCUUGUUGUUUGCUCAGUCAAGCCCAUGCUCUGUGCUGUCAGCACUACAGAGCUAGAGUGUGCGCUUCCCUCGUUUGUCCUCCCACUGAAUAAUAUAAGAUCCUCGGCUACUAUGUCAGGCAAUGGCACGGUGCGCACUUCAUGUGUCAGGACGUUGGACUUGCUGUUGUUUUUUUUGUGUUUUUUUCCUGCCGUCUGUGAUCAGUAUUAUUGCUGUCACCUGUGUCUCAUCAGAGUUGGGUGUAACGCAUAACUGUAUUCAGAUUACUUUUUACCUGCAGUAAUCAGUAUUGCAAUCAGAUUACAAUUUUAAAUUCCCUUGUCUAUUUUAAGUUUCCCUGUUCCAUAGUUGGUGUUCAGUGUUGCUACUGUAGGCCAACCCUACGUGUCUCAGGAAAGUUUUUUCUGUUUUUGUGAUUUUAUUUUUCUCUCCUAAUAAUCUUUUUGUUGGAUUACUGCUUUGAGGAUAAUUUUGUGUUGUGAAUUUUAUGUUGGAUUAUUUAUUCUUUGGAUUUACCGACUGAACUGUGUGGAUAACAUUUGUUUCUUGUUUUUUGUUUUUUACCCCAACUUUUACCCCGUUUUGAGUUCAUCUCUGCACUUGGGCUCAUCCCCUCUCCAAUGGCCCACUGAUGGAGCAUCUGAUUCUCACGCUGCUGACCUGAGUGGAGUCCAAGCCCUGACAGCAUGAAGCAUGCAGAAUGGCUCUACACAGUUUGCCGUGCAUUCCGGGACUUAUCUUUGACCCUGAGGCUCCUCGAAUCCAAGCUUUGUGUGAUAGAUCUGUGAAAAUACAGUUAAUGUAGCAGCUUGAAUAUUUGCUUCUAAAUAUCCAUGUGUGAAGGUGUGUGUGUGUGUGUGUGUGUGUGUGUGUGUGUGUGUGUGUGAGGUCCUGUAUUUACUUAACUGACCCACAACUUGCACAUGGUGUGCUACAGCAGUGAUGACUUGGUGAGAGGAAAAACUUACCAUUAGUAGCUCUCUGAACCUCUGAAUAGUUUCCUUCAUCUUUUUGUAUUGCAUCUUCAGGAUACGGUAAGCCUCCCGCUCUUGUUCUGACUCCUAAAACACAGCCAUGGUGCAGAAGAGGUUGCAACCUUGAGAGCUUAAUGUUCGCGUCUACAAUGGGCCUCUUCCAUUCAAUACAACAUCUAGCGUCUUUUUUCCCCCGUUUUAAUUUAUUUAUUCAUUUUCAUAUGAUUUAUUUACAUGUGAUUCAUUUACAUGUGAUUCAUUUACCUUUUCUCUUCUCUCCUACCUUCCCUUUCCCAAAUAUUUCACUGAGAAGAAAAAAAAUAACAAAAAAACAAAAACAAACAAAGGAAAACAAAAUUAAAAGUACCCCCCCCACUCAAUAACUGUCGCUGGUUAUAUAAAUAUUAUAAAACCCAACAACAGGCACAAAAAUUUAAGCGGGAAGUGUCUGUAACUCCAUAAAGUAUACAGUAAAGGGAUGCCAUUUAUAAAAAAUAAUAACAACAAUAAAUAAAUAAAUAAAAUAAUUAAAAUUAAUAAAUAAAAAAAAAUUAAUCUAAGUUAGGAGUGUAUACAAUACCUGUCUUUGCAUUAGAGUACCAGCAACUAUAAUAUAUCUA